CCGUAAUCGGAAUGAGUACACUUUAAAUCCUUUAACAAGGAUCCAUUGGAGGGCAAGUCUGGUGCCAGCAGCCGCGGUAAUUCCAGCUCCAAUAGCGUAUAUUAAAGUUGUUGCGGUUAAAAAGCUCGUAGUUGGUUCUGCGUGCCGCGCUGUCGGUUCGCCGCCUGUCGGUGUAACUGGCAUGUCGCGGCAUGUCCUGUCGGUGGUGAGCGGGUUCCCCGGUGCUCCUUUAGCUUUUUUAAUAGAAAGCUGAAGUGUUGUGCUGUGUGUGUUCCCGUUUGCCGAUCUCCUACUCCGGUGCUCUUAAACGAGUGUCGAGGUAGGCCGACACGUUCACUUUGAACAAAUUAGAGUGCUUAAAGCAGGCUGAAAUAUCUGCCUGAAUAGUGGUGCAUGGAAUGAUAAAACAGGACCUCGGUUCUAUUUUAUUGGUUUUAGGAAUAUGAGGUAAUGAUCAAUGUGGACUGGCGGGGGCAUUCGUAUUGCGACGUUAGAGGUGAAAUUCUUGGAUCGUCGCAAGACGCACUAGAGCGAAAGCAUUUGCCAAGUAUGUCUUAAUUGAUCAAGAACGAAAGUUAGAGGUUCGAAGGCGAUCAGAUACCGCCCUAGUUCUAACCAUAAACGAUGCCAGCCAGCGAUCCGCCGAUGUUCCUUUAAUGACUCGGCGGGGAGCUUCUACCCGGGAAACCAAAGCUUUUGGGUUCCGGGGGAAGUAUGGUUGCAAAGCUGAAACUUA
rnacentral:rRNA from 1 species